rnacentral:lncRNA from 1 species
GCAGUCACGUCGCGAUGGUUCCAGCCGGGGAAGGGUGCCCUCGCUAAGGAGAUUGCGGCGGACCCGGAAGUGCUUGGCCACAGUCGCAGCCCCGGCGCCCCGAAGCGGGAAAAAGGCUGGGUGCCGCCGUCCCCCAGCUGCGCAACCCUAGGAACUCUCGGAUCAACCUGGAUGCCUUCCUUCACAAUAAUCUCAUGGAGGUAAUUUAAAGAAUCCCUUUUUUGGAGAGUCAGAGAGAAAAGCAAAAAAAAAGAGCAUGAGGAAUUUGAAGACUGAGAGAUGAGUUGUGUAGCACCAACAUUUUCUUUCUGCCUGACCUUCAUACCUGAUGAAUUAAAAGAGGCUGAGCUGGAAUGGCUUCUUCAUCAUUAAGGGCUGACCUAUUGGCUUGGCAUUGAAAUCAAUUUAGAACAAAUGGUCUCCAUUUCAAGUCAGCUUGAACCAUCUAAGCCCCAGAACAUGACACAGAAAAAAAGAAGCAGUAAACUGCCCCUUCUACCAAUGUCUAAGAUGAACGGGAAAAAUGCAUAUAAAUGGAAUUUUUCUUUUACGUGAUGAUACAGUGUUUUGGUGUCCCAAAGAAAUAAAAUCCAGCACUGUCCAAUUGAAGUAUAAUGCAAGCCACAUUUCUAGUAGCCAUAUUUUAAAAAGUAACAAUAAAGUGUUGAAAUUUACCUUAAUACUGCCUUUUUUAACCAAAUAGGUCCAAAAUAUUAUUAUUUUGACAGGCAUUAUGAGUUGAGUUGUGUCCCCCACAAAAUUCAUGUUGAAGCCCUAACCAGCAGUACCACAGAAUGUGACUAUAUUGAGAGAUGGGGUUUUAAAAGAAGUAAUUAAGUUAAAAUGGUUUCAUUAGGGUGGGCCCUAAUCCAAUAUAACUGAUGUUCUUAUAACAAGAGGCAAUAUGGACAUGGGCACACACAGAGGGAAGAUCAUGUGAUGACAUGAGUCAAGAAGAGAGGCCUCAGAAGAAACCAACCUGACAACACCUGGAUCUCAGACUUCUACCUUCUAGAAUUGUGAAAAAUACAUUUAUCUUGCUUAACCCACCUAGUCUAUGAUAAUUUGUUAUGGCAUCUCUAGCAAACUAAUACAAUAUGUAAUCAAUUAAUGAAAAUAAAAUGUAUUAAUAAGAUAUUUUGCAUUCUUUUAUUGUAGAAAGUAUUGGAAAUCUAAUGUAUAUGUUACACUUACAGC